UCCCUGGUGGUCCAGUGGUUAGGACUCCAAGCUUUCAUUGCUGAAGGCCCAGGUUCAACCCCUGGUCGGGGAA
rfam:Ovis aries breed Texel chromosome 6, whole genome shotgun sequence.